AGCGGCGCGGUGGGGAUAACGUAAAGCAAAGAGCCGACCAAAGACGAACGCAACCGAAUAUCCACGAUCGGCUCUAUCCUCACUAUUCAUGCCUUCACACUAUAGUCAAAUUCAAGGCUAAUCACGCCUGUUGUUUGAAAAGAUUUUAACAUUUAUUCUCUACGCGGCUACAAAUUUCCACAUAGAAAAUGAUGUUUUUAGUUUCAAUUAGUAAAUAAACAUUUUAAAAAAACAUCAUAUUCACAAACAAAUAAAAUUUUUGUGAUUUUUUGCUAAAUUUUAAACUUUCAACUUCGACAAACUUCCCCGACUGCUUGCAUAUACAAACUAUUUUGGCAAUUGUCAAUUAUUGCCAGAAUGUAAAAUCAACAAACAGAAAAUUUAGUCUCGCUUUUUCUUUACGAGAAAUAAAUUUUUUAAUAGAAAUUUUUCACGUUUUUCAACUUUUGACAAAAGCUGAACUACGCAACGUUUAUGAUAAACCAUUUUUAAAAAUGUAAAAUUCUAUAAUUUUUUGCUUGACAAAUAUUUUUUAUAAUUUGUUGAUUAAUGAAAACUACAAGAAAUAUUUUUCAGACAAAAAUUUAAAGAAUUUUUUAUUUUAACAAAUUAUUUCGUUUGUCAUAAACGUUGCGUACUUCAGCUACGUAAAAUUUGGGUGUGAACAAGACAAAUUUCCCACAUGGCUUGGAUGUUUACAUUUUAUUAAAGUUAUCUACACUCAGAAAAAAAAUAUAUUUGAACCAAAUGUACCAUUUUUUUAAAUUUACCCAAUUUUUUGGUUGGUUCAAACAAAAUUUGUUCAAUUCAAAUAAAUAUUUAUUUGAUCUAAAUAACUGUUUAGAUUAUUUUAAUAAAUUUUUUGAACAAAGAAAAAAUUUAAUUGAACUAAAUAAACGUUUGGUUUAUGGAAUCACAUGUUUGGUUAACUGUAUAUCAAUGCAUUUCUUUUGUUGAUUUCACCAAAAUUUGGUUGCUUUAAACGAAUUUUUUUCUGAGUGUACUAUAAAUAGGAAGUCAAAAUAAGAAUAAAAUUUUUGGUCUCUCAUUUAGUUUUCGAGAAAUAAAUUUUCUAUUUGAAAUUUUUUAAUUUUUUGGAGUCUUUCCACAACUUGUUAGGGGGUGUCAAUUUUUUUUAACACUUUUAGGUGUGUUUAGUGCAAGAAUUUGAAAUAAAAUUGAGAGCCUAAGAAAAAUUGAAUUUUUUUUUAUCAAAGAUGGGGACUUUAGGGUAGGUUUUGGGGGCUUUCCCCCACUUUUUUUGGGGUGCUAAUUUUUUUCAACACUUGUAGGUGUGUUUAGUGCGAGAAUAUGAAAUAACAUUUUGAGCCUAAGAAAAAUUGAAUUUUUUGGGAAUUUUUUUAUUAAAGAUGGGGUCUUUAGGGUAGGUUUUGGGGACUUUCCCCCACUUUUUUUGGGGUGUCAAUUUUUUUCAACACUUGUAGGUGUGUUUAGUGCGAGAAUAUGAAAAAAAAUUUUGAGCCUAAGAAAAAUUGAAUUUUUUGGGAAUUUUUUUAUUAAAGAUGGGGUCUUUAGGGUAGGUUUUGGGGACUUUCCCCCACUUUUUUUGGGGUGUCAAUUUUUUUCAACACUUGUAGGUGUGUUUAGUGCGAGAAUAUGAAAAAAAAUUUUGAGCCUAAGAAAAAAUGAAUUUUUUGGGAAUUUUUUUAUUAAAGAUGGGGUCUUUAGGGUAGGUUUUGGGGACUUUCCCCCACUUUUUUUGGGGUGUCAAUUUUUUUCAACACUUGUAGGUGUGUUUAGUGCGAGAAUAUGAAAAAAAAUUUUGAGCCUAAGAAAAAAUGAAUUUUUUGGGAAUUUUUUUAUUAAAGAUGGGGUCUUUAGGGUAGGUUUUGGGGACUUUCCCCCACUUUUUUUGGGGUGUCAAUUUUUUUCAACACUUGUAGGUGUGUUUAGUGCGAGAAUAUGAAAAAAAAUUUUGAGCCUAAGAAAAAAUGAAUUUUUUGGGAAUUUUUUUAUUAAAGAUGGGGUCUUUAGGGUAGGUUUUGGGGACUUUCCCCCACUUUUUUUGAGGUGUCAAUUUUUUUUAACACUUGUAGGUGUGUUUAGUGCGAGAAUAUGAAAAAAAAUUUUGAGCCUAAGAAAAAAUGAAUUUUUUGGGAAUUUUUUUAUUAAAGAUGGGGUCUUUAGGGUAGGUUUUGGGGACUUUCCCCCACUUUUUUUGGGGUGUCAAUUUUUUUCAACACUUGUAGGUGUGUUUAGUGCGAGAAUAUGAAAUAACAUUUUGAGCCUAAGAAAAAUUGAAUUUUUUGGGAAUUUUUUUAUUAAAGAUGGGGUCUUUAGGGUAGGUUUUGGGGACUUUCCCCCACUUUUUUUGGGGUGUCAAUUUUUUUCAACACUUGUAGGUGUGUUUAGUGCGAGAAUAUGAAAAAAAAUUUUGAGCCUAAGAAAAAAUGAAUUUUUUGGGAAUUUUUUUAUUAAAGAUGGGGUCUUUAGGGUAGGUUUUGGGGACUUUCCCCCACUUUUUUUGAGGUGUCAAUUUUUUUUAACACUUGUAGGUGUGUUUAGUGCGAGAAUAUGAAAAAAAAAUUUUGAGCCUAAGAAAAAAUGAAUUUUUUGGGAAUUUUUUUAUUAAAGAUGAGGUCUUUAGGGUAGGUUUUGGGGACUUUCCCCCACUUUUUUUGGGGUGUCAAUUUUUUUCAACACUUGUAGGUGUGUUUAGUGCGAGAAUAUGAAAAAACAUUUUGAGCCUAUGAAAAAAUGAAUUUUUUGGGAAUUUUUUUAUUAAAGAUGGGGUCUUUAGGGUAGGUUUUGGGGACUUUCCCCCACUUUUUUUGGGGUGUCAAUUUUUUUCAACACUUGUAGGUGUGUUUAGUGCGAGAAUAUGAAAAAAAAUUUUGAGCCUAAGAAAAAUUGAAUUUUUGGUGAAUUUUUUUUCAAUGUGUCAUUAUAGGGGGUUAUACUAGGGGUGGUUUUUAAAUGAAAUUGGGGUUGAACUGAAUUUUUUUGUUAUGUAUAUUCUUUUUUUGAAGUUAUUUGUACGUUUUUGUUGUGUUUAUAGAGUAACUUGGAUUUUAAAUUUUCGAUGAUCAUAAUCGAUGUGAACUUCAC